rnacentral:tRNA from 1 species
GCCGGGGUGGCGAAAUUGGCAGACGCACCGGACUCAAAAUCCGGCGAGGUUUACCCCUCGUGAGGGUUCGACUCCCUCUCCCGGCACCA